GAGGGCAAAUGAUGAAUAAAAUUCUUAUCCUACACACUGAACUAAAUGUAGACUACAACUCCGCUUAUUAUCUGAUGCCUUC